AAAAAACGAGUCAAUUUAUGGGGACGAAAAGAAUAUUUUAUCUAAAAUUUUGAAUUUGUGUUAAUAUGUUCAUCCUUAACCAUUAUAUAAAUCCUGAAUUUUUUCAAACUCAUAAAUGUUCCUUGUUUAUUCCUUGUUUUCCCUUUUCAUAAAAAUGAUUUUUCACACUUCUAUCAAGACCAAAGACUAUCAUUAUACAAUAAAAAUUCACCACCAUAAAAGCAACCCAACCUUCAUAUAGACAACCCAAAAUUAAGGUGCAAAGGACGAACAUACAUUACAAAUGAAGGACACUUCAACACUUGUUUAUGGUAAAACAAAAUCUCUUAUUGCUUCUAACAACAAAUCCAAUAAUCAAAUAGAUCCAACUUUAACAACAUGUCUAAUAAUCAAAUAGAUCCAACUUUAACAACAUGUCUAAUAAUCAAAUAGAUCCAACUUUAACAACAUGUCUAAUAAUCAAAUAGAUCCAAUCUUAACAACAGAUCCAAAAAAAAAAAUCCUCUUGUUAAUUCUAACAAUAAA
rnacentral:lncRNA from 1 species